rfam:Caenorhabditis elegans chromosome IV
GAAACCAAUCAAUCAAGAAUGCCCAACCCUGAUUCCGACCAUUCAAAAGAUUGUGUUGAAUAACAAUAACUUUUGGAACAGCUUCUUCGGGGUUAUCCUUCGAAGCAAA